GGGGGUGUAGCUCAGUGGUAGAGCGCAUGCUCAGAAUCAUGAGGUCCUGGGGUUAAUUCCCAGUACCUCCA
rnacentral:tRNA from 1 species